rnacentral:ncRNA from 1 species
AGAAAACUUGGUUCUAGUUUCCCCACUUAACUCUUCCCUGUCUGCCACAUGCAAGAAAAAAACGCCCCAGCGGACAAAUUUUCCGCACUCCAUAGUGAGUGGGAAAUCCAGCAUAAGUUAAAUAACAGAAGUAAGAAUACCCGCGGUCAGCAGUGCUAAACAUUAUACAAUUUAAGAAAUUAUGAUAUAGACAAGGAGAAUAGAAGAGGCCCAUACCGUGCCAGCAGCCGCGGUUAUACGUUAUCUUCGAGUUAAGAAGAUCCGGUGCAAAGAAGGGAAGGCCCACCAGCUCAACCACAAAGAUUAACUCUAGCAGUAAUAAGCUCAAGAAAUCACUAAGAAACAGAAAGGCCCACCCCAUAAGAAAAGAAAUAAACUAGGAUUAGAUACCCUACUAUUUUUUCCCACAACAUAAAUCACCAGAGCAGUAAGGCUAAGCUGAAACUUAAAGAACUUGGCGGUUUUCUAGACCUCCUUGGAGGAGCUUGUCAUCGAAUUGAUAACCCGCAAGAUACCUCACCUGCUCAUGACAAGCCAGCCUGUAUACCAUCGUCGCCAGCUCACCUUGUACAAAGAGUGAGCCAAAAGAAAUAAACUCCAAACGUCAGAUCAAGGUGCAGCCAAUGAGCAGGGGAUAGAUGAGCUACUGCACUUGAAAAAUAGAGGAAGCAGAGAUGAAAACCCUGCUGAAAACGGAUUCAACAGUAACAAAGUAUAUAAAGACUUUGUAGAGCAAGCUCUAGAAUGCGCACACAUCGCCCGUCACUCUCCUCUAACGAGGAGAAAAGUCGUAACAUAGUAGGUGUACCGGAAGGUGUACCUGGGCCAAG